rnacentral:rRNA from 1 species
AUGCACGCUGGCGGCGUGCCUAAUACAUGCAAGUCGAGCGAACAGACGAGGAGCUUGCUCCUCUGACGUUAGCGGCGGACGGGUGAGUAACACGUGGACAACCUACCUAUAAGACUGGGAUAACUUCGGGAAACCGGAGCUAAUACCGGAUAAUAUAUUGAACCGCAUGGUUCAAUAGUGAAAGACGGUUUUGCUGUCACUUAUAGAUGGAUCCGCGCCGCAUUAGCUAGUUGGUAAGGUAACGGCUUACCAAGGCAACGAUGCGUAGCCGACCUGAGAGGGUGAUCGGCCACACUGGAACUGAGACACGGUCCAGACUCCUACGGGAGGCAGCAGUAGGGAAUCUUCCGCAAUGGGCGAAAGCCUGACGGAGCAACGCCGCGUGAGUGAUGAAGGUCUUCGGAUCGUAAAACUCUGUUAUUAGGGAAGAACAAAUGUGUAAGUAACUAUGCACGUCUUGACGGUACCUAAUCAGAAAGCCACGGCUAACUACGUG